GAUGAACGCUAGCGGCAGGCUUAAUACAUGCAAGUCGAGGGGCAGCACAGGUAGCAAUACUGGGUGGCGACCGGCAAACGGGUGCGGAACACGUACACAACUUACCUUAGAGUGGGGGAUAGCCCAGGGAAACUUGGAUUAAUACCCCUUAAAACAGAGGGCCCGCAUGGGCAUAUUGUUAAAGAUUUAUCGCUUUAAGAUGGGUGUGCGUAUGAUUAGGUAGUUGGUAGGGUAAAGGCCUACCAAGCCGACGAUCAUUAACUGGUGUGAGAGCACGACCAGUCACACGGGCAUUGAGACACGGGCCCGACUCCUACGGGAGGCAGCAGUAAGGAAUAUUGGUCGAUGGACGGAAGUCUGAACCAGCCAUGCCGCGUGAAGGAUGAAGGUCCUCUGGAUUGUAAACUUCUUUUAUAGGGGGCGAAAAAGGGCCAUUCUUGGUCAACUGACGGUACCCUAUGAAUAAGCACCGGCUAACUCCGUGCCAGCCGCCGCCGUAACAC
rnacentral:rRNA from 1 species